ACCCAGCACCUCCACAAUCAGCUUUUUGAGUCUUCGACCUCCUCUGUCUACCAAGCACAGUGCUGUACUUCGAAUAACAGCUGUGCAUGGUAUUGCAGCUCUGCCCUAUUCAUUUAGAGGGGUUUUCCAAGUUAUUUGUAUGUGUCAGGCAUGUCCAGGCCAUUCAGAAGGCAUCCUCAUAGAGACUUGUCAGCUGCGAGUGUAUAUGGGCCAUAGGAACAUCAGAACUGAGGUUUGAAAAGUGGGCGGAGCUUGUUGGCGCGAGGCCUCACUUCCUGCACGUUACUGGAGGCAGAAUGGCUUAGCAUUAGCUUUUAUAACCCAAGAAACAGAAGAGGAAUUCCAGUCACAAUGAAAGCUAAGAGGGUGGGUGGUUUACUGGACUGGAACAGGUGAAAUACUUUGCCUGUAUAAACGGAAGCAGCAGCAAGAUGUAAAUGGCCAGAAGAAAGAAUGUCUGAGAGGUCAGUAAAUACUGGGAAGAGCUGCAGCAUGAGAAGAUGGAUCUGUCAGCAAAGAGAACCAAGACUGGGCAGGAGGAGGGGAAGGUAGUCUUAGCUGACACCCACAAAUAUUCAUGAGAAGAACGUCCGAGAAUGUUUCGCACUCCCAGAGCUCUGCAAUUGCAUGUAAACAAAGGGGCCAGAGCUGUGCUGGGUAGCCUUUUUGCUUUUGCUAGACCUCACUUAUCUAAUCUAGUCUAUAUAUUCCUGACCAUCGGGUUUGCGGAGUGUAUUAUUUUUUUCUGUAACUCGUACAACCCCGUUAAAUGAGACUGAGCUGUCCCUAAGCUGCAUGACCAAUGAACGUGACGUCACUGGCAUAGGAAGAGGGCACAGUAUUCACUGGAGCCUCUUCAAACAGCUAAUCAGCAAGGUGCCGGACAUCAGACCCCCACCUAUCGGAUUACCUAUUUCCCCCCAACAACUAAUUCUGAAUAUAGCGCUGUCUGAUAUGUAUAUUUUUUUUAUCUGAUGCAGUUAUAAGGUAAGGCAUGAGUUAACAGGGUUUUCCAUGACUUUUCUACUAAUGACCUAUCCUCAGUAACCUAGGUCAUCAGUAUCUCAUCGGUGGGGGUCUGAUCUGCUAUCCAGAGAAUUGGUCAUCAGUAGAAAAGUCUCAGAAAACCCCUUUUAAUUUUGCAGACAAAUACUGACUGCAAGGAAUCCAUUUUGAAAGUCUGAGAGAUAAGUGGGGCACACGUAAUAAUCCUGUUGCUGGCCUAAGCUUAGACUGGCUGUCUAGGUCUGCACCAGAUUAUCACAGGGGCUCAGGCUGGAUAAUGAAGGGUUAGACACAUUUGUCUAGCUAAAGCCACUCCUCCUGUUUGGGCUAGUCGCAGUAGAUUCCUGUAUAACUAUAUACUCAAAUUUGUUUAAA